rnacentral:rRNA from 1 species
AUUGAACGCUGGCGGCAGGCCUAACACAUGCAAGUCGAGCGGAUGAAGAGAGCUUGCUCUCUGAUUCAGCGGCGGACGGGUGAGUAAUGCCUAGGAAUCUGCCUGGUAGUGGGGGACAACGUUUCGAAAGGAACGCUAAUACCGCAUACGUCCUACGGGAGAAAGUAGGGGAUCUUCGGACCUCACGCUAUCAGAUGAGCCUAGGUACGAUUAGCUAGUUGGUGAGGUAAAGGCUCACCAAGGCGACGAUCGUUAACUGGUCUGAGAGGAUGAUCAGUCACACUGGAACUGAGACACGGUCCAGACUCCUACGGGAGGCAGCAGUGGGGAAUAUUGGACAAUGGGCGAAAGCCUGAUCCAGCCAUGCCGCGUGUGUGAAGAAGGUCUUCGGAUUGUAAAGCACUUUAAGUUGGGAGGAAGGGCAGUAAGUUAAUACCUUGCUGUUUUGACGUUACCGACAGAAUAAGCACCGGCUAACUUCGUGCCAGCCGCCGCCGUAAAAC